GUUUCUAGUGUGAAGGCUUCACUCCUAACGAAUCCUAUAAACUGAAAAUGUGGACUGAAGUCUGCACUAGCUGUAGAUUCUGGAGCACUUGACUUCUGUUCAUCGUAAUUGAGUCAUGUGACGAGGCAAAUGAAAGAUGAGCAUUGGCGGCUGCUUAGAAUUAGUCGCACGAUUAUAGUACUGUUGGAUAAUUUGGUAUUUCAAGGAUUUUGAUGUAUUGGAUGGAUGAUAUUGAGCUGGAUUUGAAAAUCCGAUUUCUUUAUGUUUUGAUUAUAAAAAAAAUUAAUAUUUUCUUUGUG